rnacentral:rRNA from 1 species
AUGGACGAAAGUCUGACGGAGCAACGCCGCGUGAGUGAUGAAGGUUUUCGGAUCGUAAAACUCUGUUGUUGGGGAAGAACAAGUAUCGUUCGAAUAGGGCGGUACCUUGACGGUACCUAACCAGAAAGCCCCGGCUAACUACGUGCCAGCAGCCGCGGUAAUACGUAGGGGGCAAGCGUUGUCCGGAAUUAUUGGGCGUAAAGCGCUCGCAGGCGGCCUUUUAAGUCUGAUGUGAAAGCCCACGGCUCAACCGUGGAUGGUCAUUGGAAACUGGAGGGCUUGAGUACAGAAGAGGAGAGUGGAAUUCCACGUGUAGCGGUGAAAUGCGUAGAGAUGUGGAGGAACACCAGUGGCGAAGGCGACUCUCUGGUCUGUAACUGACGCUGAGGAGCGAAAGCGUGGGGAGCAAACAGGAUUAGAUACCCUGGUAGUCCACGCCGUAAACGAUGAGUGCUAGGUGUUAAGGGGUUUCCGCCCCUUAGUGCUGAAGUUAACGCAUUAAGCACUCCGCCUGGGGAGUACGGCCGCAAGGCUGAAACUCAAAAGAAUUGACGGGGGCCCGCACAAGCGGUGGAGCAUGUGGUUUAAUUCGACGCAA